rnacentral:sRNA from 11 species
AUGUACCACCCGUACACUGCGUUGCUGAUCUGCCGUCCACGCCCACCUGACGACUGCGCACGACGUUCUGUUACCC